CCUGAUCCAGCCAUGCCGCGUGUCUGAAGAAGGCCUUCGGGUUGUAAAGGACUUUUGUCAGGGAGGAAAUCCCUAGCGCUAAUAUCGCUGGGGGAUGACAGUACCUGAAGAAUAAGCACCGGCUAACUACGUGCCAGCAGCCGCGGUAAUACGUAGGGUGCAAGCGUUAAUCGGAAUUACUGGGCGUAAAGCGUGCGCAGGCGGUUGUGUAAGUCUGAUGUGAAAGCCCCGGGCUCAACCUGGGAACUGCAUUGGAGACUGCACAGCUAGAGUGCGUCAGAGGGGGGUAGAAUUCCGCGUGUAGCAGUGAAAUGCGUAGAGAUGCGGAGGAAUACCGAUGGCGAAGGCAGCCCCCUGGGAUGACACUGACGCUCAUGCACGAAAGCGUGGGGAGCAAACAGGAUUAGAUACCCUGGUAGUCCACGCCCUAAACGAUGUCAACUAGCUGUUGGGGGUUUGAAUCCUUGGUAGCGUAGCUAACGCGAGAAGUUGACCGCCUGGGGAGUACGGCCGCAAGGUUAAAACUCAAAGGAAUUGACGGGGACCCGCACAAGCGGUGGAUGAUGUGGAUUAAUUCGAUGCAACGCGAAAAACCUUACCUGGUCUUGACAUGUACAGAACUUUCCAGAGAUGG
rnacentral:rRNA from 1 species